CGCGUAUAGAAUCUGCCUUGUACAGGAGGAUAGCCUUUAGAAAUGAAGAUUAAUACUCCAUAAUAUUGGGAAGUGGCAUCACUAUCUAAUUAAACAUUUAUGGGUACAAGAUGACUAUGCGUCCUAUUAGCUAGAUGGUAAGGUAACGGCUUACCAUGGCAACGAUAGGUAGGGGGUCUGAGAGGAUUAUCCCCCACACUGGUACGUGAGACACGGACCGACGACUCCUACGGGAGGGCAGCAGUGAGGAAAUAAUUGGUCAAAUGGAGGGCAACUCUGAACCAGCCAUGCCGCGUGCAG
rnacentral:rRNA from 1 species